rnacentral:rRNA from 1 species
AUUGAACGCUGGCGGCAGACCUAACACAUGCAAGUCGAACGAGUGGCGGACGGGUGAGGAAUGUCUGGGAAACUGCCUGAUGGAGGGGGAUCACUACUGGAAACGGUAGCUAAUACCGCAUACCAACGGAUGGGCCCAGAUGGGAUUAGCUAGUAGGUGGGGGAACGGCUCCACUAGGCGACGAUCCCUAGAUGGUCUGAGAGGAUGACAAGCCAGAUUGGAACUGAGAACCGGUCCAGACUCCUACGGGAGACAGCCGUGGGGAAUAUUGCACAAUGGGGGCAAGCCUGAUGCAGCCAUGCCGCGUGUAUGAAGAAGGCCUUCGGGUUGUAAAGUACUUUCAGCGGGGAGGCGUUACCCGCAGAAGAAGCACCGGCUAACUCCGUGCCAGCAGCCGCGGUAAUUC